UGUACUUGGUGUUACUGCGAAGGGGGGACGGAGAAGGCUAUGUUGGCCGGGCGACGGUUGUCCCGGUUUAAGCGUGUAGGCUGGUUUUCCAGGCAAAUCCGGAAAAUCAAGGCUGAGGCGUGAUGACGAGGCACUACGGUGCUGAAGCAACAAAUGCCCUGCUUCCAGGAAAAGCCUCUAAGCAUCAGGUAACAUCAAAUCGUACCCCAAACCGACACAGGUGGUCAGGUAGAGAAUACCAAGGCGCUUGAGAGAACUCGGGUGAAGGAACUAGGCAAAAUGGUGCCGUAACUUCGGGAGAAGGCACGCUGAUAUGUAGGUGAAGCGACUUGCUC
rnacentral:rRNA from 1 species